rnacentral:rRNA from 1 species
GACGAACGCUGGCGGCGUGCUUAACACAUGCAAGUCGAACGGAAAGGCCCUGCUUGCCGGGUGCUCGAGUGGCGAACGGGUGAGUAACACGUGGGUGAUCUGCCCCUUACUUUGGGAUAAGCCUGGGAAACUGGGUCUAAUACUGGAUAGGACCAUGCUGUAGGUGGUGUGGUGGAAAGAUUAGUUUCGGUAAGGGAUGAGCUCGCGGCCUAUCAGCUUGUUGGUGGGGUAAUGGCCUACCAAGGCGUCGACGGGUAGCCGGCCUGAGAGGGUGGACGGCCACAUUGGGACUGAGAUACGGCCCAGACUCCUACGGGAGGCAGCAGUGGGGAAGAUUGCACAAUGGGCGCAAGCCGGAUGCAGCGACGCCGCGUGGGGGAUGACGGCCUUCGGGUUGUAAACUCCUUUCAGCCAUGACGAAGCCCUUGUGGUGACGGUAGUGGUAGAAGAAGCACCGGCUAACUACGUG